rnacentral:miRNA from 1 species
GAGCCAUAUCUCUAGCCCUGGUAUCCUUUUAAAUAUGCUUCAGGGAUUGCAGAGAUGGCCCUG